rnacentral:rRNA from 1 species
GACGAACGCUGGCGGCGUGCUUAACACAUGCAAGUCGAACGGAAAGGCCUGCUUUCCCUUGUGGAUUGCGGGUACUCGAGUGGCGAACGGGUGAGUAACACGUGAGUGAUCUGCCCCCAACUUGGGUAUAAGCCUGGGAAACUGGGUCUAAUUCCCGAUAGGACUGCAGGGUGGUGCCUGUGGUGGAAAACGAUUUUCUAGUGGUUGGGGAUGAGCUCGCGGCCUAUCAGCUUGUUGGUGGGGUAAUGGCCUACCAAGGCGGCGACGGGUAGCCGGCCUGGGAGGGUGGACGGCCACAUUGGGACUGAGAUACGGCCCAGAAUCCUACGGGAGGCAGGAGUGGGGAAUAAUGCACAAUGGGCGGAAGCCUGAUGCAGCGACGCCGCGUGGGGGAUGACGGCCUUCGGGUUGUAAACUCCUUUCGACCGCGAGGAAGCCACCUGGUUGGAAGGGUGGUGACGGUAGUGGUAGAAGAAGCACCGGCUAACUACGUG